AAGAAGAAGGAGAUGAAGAAAUUAAAGUGCAUUAAAUGAAAUAGUAUGUGUUAAUCAACAAGCAAUGACCAAAGAUAGAGAAGAUCAAGGUCAAAUAAUAGAAAACAGAAGCAAAAUGAGAAUUAGAAGUCAAGAAACAAAUAAAAUAUUUUUGGCAUUUUUUUAAUAUUUGAAAAUAAACCUGAAUUAAAAUAUUAAAGAAAGGUCAAACUUCA
rnacentral:lncRNA from 1 species